rnacentral:rRNA from 1 species
AUGAGCGCUUCUCGGUUCAUCAAGUGCGUGACGGUGGGGGACGGCGCCGUCGGCAAGACUUGCCUCCUCAUCUCCUACACAUCCAACACCUUCCCCACCGACUAUGUCCCAACAGUCUUCGACAACUUCAGCGCUAACGUCGUGGUUGACGGGAGCACCGUCAACCUCGGAUUAUGGGAUACUGCAGGACAAGAGGACUAUAAUAGACUACGCCCACUAAGCUACCGAGGUGCCGAUGUCUUCCUGCUCGCCUUCUCUCUUAUCAGCAAAGCAAGCUACGAGAAUGUCACCAAGAAGUGGAUCCCUGAGCUACGGCACUAUGCUCCUGGUGUGCCCAUAAUUCUUGUUGGGACAAAGCUUGAUCUGCGGGAUGACGAGCAGUUUUUCGUGGAUCACCCUGGAGCUGUUCCUAUUUCCACCGCUCAGGGUGAAGAGCUGAAGAAGGUAAUUGGCGCGACGACCUACGUCGAGUGCAGCUCAAAAACACAGCAGAACAUCAAGGCGGUGUUUGAUGCGGCGAUCAAGGUGGUUCUCCAGCCUCCGAAGCAGAAGCGGAAGAAGAGGAAGUCGCAGAAAGGAUGCAGCAUCUUGUAA